rnacentral:lncRNA from 1 species
AUUUAUCGUCAUGGCAUGACUUUAAAUCUCACGGCGGGUCCUCAAACCCCUCAUUUUUCACUAUCUCAUUUUCAACAUCCACCAUGGAUACUACUUAAAGCUCUACAGUUUACUUCUUUGACUUUUAAAUUUUGAAUGAUACCUCAUCUUGUUGCACCCAAAAUUUAUUUCUCGCAACUCUAGAUCAAUAAUGGCGCUCCCAGUGGCCAAGAAAGGAUGACCAAGAAUGAUAGGAACCUCUUGGUCCAUCUCACAAUCCAAU